CGGAGGUAGGGUCCAGCGGCU
rnacentral:sRNA from 1 species